ACGCAGUCUCAAAAAGAUCUUUGUGGACCUCAUUCAAGUCCCCG
rnacentral:tRNA from 1 species